rnacentral:tRNA from 1 species
GGCCCCGUGGUGAAAUUGGUAGACGCGCUGGACUCAAAAUCCUGUGGUAGCAAUACCGUGUCGGUUCGACUCCGACCGGGGCCA